rnacentral:rRNA from 1 species
AUGGCUGUUUAUUUCUUCAACUCCGACGGAUUGAUCCCACGCCGAUACAAUGCAAGAAUAAUUCGUACUGAUGAGGGUCGGGAUCUUGCUUGGCUGCGGGCUCAAGAUGUCUAUGAACCAGUGACUUGUCUGAGGUUCUUCGACCCACCAUAUGCUUCUGGGUGGAAUGUUGUUGCGCUGGCUUAUACCACAUUGGAUGGCUCUUCUGCUACUAUUCUAGAGCCAGGGACGUAUUCUGGUCAAAUAACCAAUGAACCAGAUGAAGUGUCGCUUACCUGCAGUUGUACAUCUAAGCAAGGUGCAUCAGGUUCACCUCUUAUUUUGCCACGGAUAGACAGGGUAGUUGGGGUGCUUGCCGGAGCUUCACAUGCAUCGGUAUACGCUGUUCCUGUCACACAUAUAAGGGAGUUCUUAAUAGAGUGGCUUGGUGGAGACGAAGACCUGGACUUGAACACUGGACGGAAACUUGGGGAGGAAGAACCAUGA